rnacentral:misc_RNA from 1 species
CAACGUCUCUGCUCAGCUGAGCUCAUCUCUCAUCUUCUCAGCCUGGAAAAAAAAUCAGCCGCCGCCCCUGCGCAGAUUUUUUCAGCGUCUAUAUCACUUUGCGCGUGUCCAAGCCACCGUUCAGCUCGAGAAGAAAAUCCUACCGUGCUCGAUUCUUCCCUGCGCGUCUCCUCCGCUUGGAGCUUCCUGCGUCCCUCUGUGGCCGGAACUCCCUUCAUGGCCGGAGCUCGGACGGCGCUCGGUCCUGCCACUCCCAUGGCCGCGCCCCCCUGCUUCUCUCUCUCAGCGCUCGCGGCUCUUUCUCUCCUGCUCCGUCCAUGGCUGUUUGCCUCUGCUCGCGGCGUCCCUGCUCGCCCAGCCGAGCUCUCCACUGCCCAGCUCCAUCUCACGGCGCUCUGUCUGCUCGGUUCCAUGGCCUCGGUACUCCAGCUCGCCGUGACCUGCUCCCUCUGUUUCCAUGGCAGGCUCUCUGCUCGUCGCGCGCGCCUGGACGAUCUCCCUGGUGGCUGCCUGUUCUCCCUGUGUACCGCGCGAGUUCUUUGGUAGACGCGCGCUGGCCGUGCUCCACUUCGCCCAUCGCGGCGCUCCAGUUCCAACUCGCUGCGCGCCGAGCUCUUCGCUGUUGUCCGUGCGCGCGCGCCGCUCGUCGACCUCUCUGCUCACGUAUAGCUCGCUCUUUCCUUGUUUGCCGCGCGCACGAAUUUCAUCUGCUCCCAUAGCAUGUCGAGUUCCCGCACCAUCAUCGCUUCUGUCACAAGCUCGUUGACCACAGUUAUUUUGAUCGUGUCAGCUCGCGACUGUGGUCAUGUUCAUCGAAUUCGCCAACGCUUUGUUGCCGAUUCGAUUGUCGUCGUUUCGCGUGUUGUCGAGCCCGUCGUUUUCCCCGUCUUGUACUCGCAUGGUUUUCUGCUCGCCGGUGCGCUCUCUCAGCUCGCUCGGCUUUAAUUCCUAAUCGCAUCGUCGAUUCCAGCGGUUAACGUCGUCGCGUCGCGGGUGCAGCUCUAUAUACAUCACCCUCCCGUGUCGUCGUCGUUCCGCGUGUCAGUAAGAAAACCAAAGAAUCGGGUGAAGACGAAGCUAGCAGCGCGAUAUUCCCUAAGCGCUCGACAAAUUGUCUGGAUCGGAAAAUCGCUACCGAUCUCGUGGAUUCGUGUCAGCUGUGGAAACGGUAAGCUGAUAAAUUAUUCAGAAUAGUUCGAUCGAUGAAUAAAUUAAUGUGCUAGUGUGAUGCUCAUUAAGGUGCUUGAUAAAUUGCGUAAGUCACGAAACUCUCGUCGACUUCGCAGUUCUUGCGAUUAUCGAGCCAGAUUCAGUUAUAGCGAGUUAUUUCGCUAUUCCGGUCACUUAGCUGAAUUAGUGGACCAAGUAGAAUUUUGGCAAGCAUGUGUGAUGAUGAAAUAUUUUAAUCACUUAUAAAGAUGUAGUAUAAUUUAUAAAGAAAGGGAUUAAUUCAGAAUUUAAUUAAUUAACUGAUAAGUUGUGAUUAG